GCCAGGGUGGCAUAGUGGUUUGAGUGUUGGACUGCAUCUCUGGAAACCAGGGUUCAAAUCCCAGUCUCGGGCA